rnacentral:rRNA from 1 species
GACGAACGCUGGCGGCGUGCCUAAUACAUGCAAGUCGAACGAGGUGCUUUUGUAGCAAUACGAGAGUAUCCUAGUGGCGAACGGGUGAGUAACGCGUUGGUGACCUACCCCAAAGUGUGGGAUAACAGAUCGAAAGAUCUGCUAAUACCGCAUGUGGUCUUCGGAUUUAGAAACUGAUGACUAAAGGAGCAAUUCGCUUUGGGAGGGACCUGCGUCCCAUCAGCUAGUUGGUGAGGUAACGGCUCACCAAGGCGACGACGGGUAGGGGACCUGAGAGGGUGGCCCCCCAAAAUGGAACUGAAACACGGGCCAUACACCUACGGGUGGCAGCAGUAGGGAAUAUUGCUCAAUGGGCGAAAGCCUGAAGCAGCAACGCCGCGUGUGCGAUGAAGGCCUUCGGGUCGUAAAGCACUUUUCGCUGGGAAGAGGAAGGACGGUACCAGCGGAAUAAGCCUCGGCUAACUACGUGCCAGCCGCCGCUGUAAAAC